UACGGAGGGUGCGAGCGUUGUCCGGAAUCAUUGGGCGUAAAGGGCGCGUAGGUGGCCCGGUCAGUCUUUGGUGAAAGCGCGGGGCUCAACCCUCGCGUCGGCCAGGGAUACUGCCGCGGCUGGAGCACUGUAGAGGCAGGCGGAAUUCCGGGGUGUAGCGGUGGAAUGCGUAGAGAUCCGGAAGAACACCGGUGGCGAAGGCGGCCUGCUGGGCAGUUUUGCUGACACUGAGGCGCGACAGCGUGGGGAGCAAACAGGG
rnacentral:rRNA from 1 species